UACAGAGGUCUCAAGCGUUGUUCGGAUUCAUUGGGCGUAAAGGGUGCGUAGGCGGCGCGGUAAGUCGGGUGUGAAAUCUCGGAGCUUAACUCCGAAACCGCAUUCGAUACUGCCGUGCUUGAGGACUGGAGAGGAGACUGGAAUUUACGGUGUAGCGGUGAAAUGCGUAGAUAUCGUAAGGAAGACCAGUGGCGAAGGCGGGUCUCUGGGCAAUUCCUGACGCUGAGGCGCGAAAGCGUGGGGAGCAAACGGG
rnacentral:rRNA from 1 species